GGGAGGUAGACUGGCUGUCUAGCAGGUUGAAGGCAGUGAGUAUCCUGGACAGAGCAGUGCUGCAGGCAGAGACCCAGGGAGCUAAAGGUAGCUCUUUGCAGGCUACAGGGAUCUGCAGGCUGAGGCAAGGGCAAAGAGGGUUCUGGGGUCAUGGGAAAGUGAUCUAGGAAAAUCUACUGAGAAGGCAGAGGAGGUGCUGCAAGCAGUGGCCAUCUUACAGGGUCCCUGGGAUGGGACCUUGAAUAGUAGGUGGGCCUGGGUCUUCCACCCUUCUUGCCACUGAGGAAGUGGCUGAACUAAGGAACUGUGACAUUUCCCCCCUCCCCUCCAGCCCAGAAGGGGGGAGCACAGAGUGUGGCACAGCCUGGGGGCUGUGUCACUGAAGAGAACACUGUGGUCCUGGGAGUGAUGUGGGUCCCAGAGCAGAAAUGAUAGUGGCAGUGCACCACCAGAAGAGGGUGCACUGGCAAGAAGAGCUAAUUCCCAUGACAACUGGCAGGAGGUGCCAGAGUGACUGGUGUAAAUCAGGAGUAACAUUACUGAAGCACAUCGAGUGGCAUUACUGAAAACCAAUGGUCAAGAGAGGACAGAAGCGGAGGAGGAGGAAAAUUCCACAAGAUGCUCUCCUGGAGUUCCCACUUCCCUCUAAAUUAUUCCCCAGAGGGUCAGGGUUUAUUCUGGAGCCCUGGACCUGCAGAAGGUCCUCAUGAGAUCCAAGGCUGGAAAACAGUGCUGAGAAGGUGAUUUCUCAAGCUUGUGUACACAUCGGAGGGGUAUGAGUCAUGCACUGUGAUUUUCUGUGCCUGCAAGUCUAGAGCAUACCAUUUUUUAAGCAUAGACAAAACUGCAUUGAUGACUGAUUCAGAGUCCUGUAUCACAACAGAGCUCCUCCUGAAGGAUGAUUCAAGCAAGCUUCCAUGGGAGGGCCAGUUCAAGCAAAUGAAAUAGAAAUGGGGUGCAGCAGAGCAUCUGUUACUCUGAUUUCCUCAAGGUGCAUAAGUUAAUAUCUGCUGAGUGUGUUAGUUACAGGGCCGGCUCCAGGCACCAGCUUAUCAAGCAGGUGCUUGGGGCAGCAACUCCGGAGAGGGGCGGCACU